UUUUGUUUUAACUUGUAAUGAUAGCAAUGUUUCUAAAAGGAAAUUUCACUAGGGAGGUACUGUAGAAUAGUCGUUUUUCGAUUUUCUCAGGAGUUUUUCCCAACAAAUGUGAAAAACCGGGAUGAAACAUGGGAAAACCGUAGAGAAACUGGAAAAAUCGGUACAACAUUAAACAAAUAUUAUUAAAGAAAAUAAAUAAAGCCUAUUUAAUUAUUAUACUAUAAAAUCACACAUAAAUUGUUAACAAAGCAUCACUGUCAACUGAACUCCGCUCAGAAUCAUUUUUUCGUAAGCAAUGGUUUAUCGUUAAAAAUAACUCGUUUUAAACGGUUCUAUAUUUAAUGACAGCGAAAAAUAACCCAAAAUCAAUUUUACUCGAAAUGUUUGUUGAUAAUCGUUGGAUCAUGGAUAAAAAAAAUUAAUAAUAAUAAUAAAUCACUCUAUAUACAUGACGACGACACUGACCUUGGCAAA